rnacentral:lncRNA from 1 species
AUGCCCAGGAGCGGGAUUGCUGGAUCCUAUGGUAGUUGUGUGUUCACGUUUCUGAGGAACCUCCAUCCUGUCCUCCACAGUGGCUGCACCAAUUUCCAUUCCCACCAAUGUCGGGGGUUCUUUUUUCUGAGACUGUUUUUGAUCCCUGGUCCUGUAGUUCCUUUCCCUGCUGACACUGGCCCUAGGCAGAUGUUAGUCCUGUCUCCCAAAGCCCCAAAACUCUUCCAAGUUGCUCACGGACCACAUCUCUGCUUUGGUGGCUUUGGGGAAAUUCAUUACAUCCACAGUCAGAGAAUAUCGUGAGCCAGAGAAACUCACACAAGCCUUGAUGUCCAGGCUUCUUAUUCAGGGGUUGGUUACGUAGAAAUGGUUGUCCAGGGAGCUCCCUUUUCUGCUCAGCAGCUUAAGCCCCCACCAGUGUCCAUGAGGAUGUGGUUUGAUCCCUGGCCUUGCUUAGUGGGUUAAGGAUCCAGUGUUGCUGAAGCUGUGGCAUAUUCAGAGAUGUGGCUUGGGUCCAGUGUUUCUGUGGCUGUGGUGUAGACCUGCAGCUGGAGCUCUUAUUAAACUAGCCCGGGAACCUCCAUGUGCAGGUGCGGCCAUAAAAAGGAAAUAAGAAAGCAAAAAGAUGUGGCUGUCCCUCCACAUAGCUGCCCUUAGCCUCCAGCCUCCCCAGAGGUCAAGCUGAGACCAUGUGCCCCAAGGCCCCCACCGUAGGUCACAUUGCAGCACACACUCCCAAAGGAUUGGUCUUCCUUUGGCCAAUCACCUUCUUGUAUCUUUCCUCACACACCUGACCAGACCCAGGAACCCCAAGUAAACAAUGACCCUUGUAUGGAGCCGGACAUCCUAAGUCUCAGAGGCGACCUUCCAGGAGGUUGGGGUCAAGGGCAGAACUUUCCUGGGGCAGAGUCUGUCCUUUCCUGCACACCCCUCUUGCAGAAGCCCUUCUAAGCCCAAUUUUGCAGAAUACCCUCCAUCCUGGAGAGCACGGCGCUCAAAGUGACAGAAUCCACGCUUGAGUGACUGUGGCAGAUAACAGCCUUCACCCCUGCAACAAGGGGAUACCUAGUUUGGAGUGUGUGCUGGGUUGAAUUGUCACCCAAAAAGAUACACGGACGUCCUACCCCUCAGUCUCUCCCAACGUGGCCUUAUUUGGGAAGAGUCUUUGCAGAUGGAGUUUGUGGAAGAAAGGUCGUAUUAGGGCAGGGAUGGCCCUAAUCCACCAGGACUGGUGUCCACGUAACAGAGAGAGGGGGACACAGGCUGGGGGGAGGGAUGGCCAUGUCCCAGUGGAGGUGGAGAC